UGCCAGCCGCCGCGGUAACACGGGGGGCGCAAGCGUUGUCCGGAUCUGCUGGGCGUAAAGGGCGCGCAGGCGGUCGAAUAAGUCGAAUGUGAAAGCUCCCGGCUCAACUGGGAAGGGUCAUUCGAUACUGUUCGACUCGAAGAUAGGAGAGGGAAGCGGAAUUCCCGGUGUAGUGGCGAAAUGCGUAGAUAUCGGGAGGAACACCAGUGGCGAAGGCGGCUUUCUGGCCUAUUCUUGACGCUGAGGCGCGAAAGCUAGGGGAGCGAACGGGAUUAGAUA
rnacentral:rRNA from 1 species